GCAGUGGUUGUUCAGUGGUAGAAUUCUUGCCUUCCAUGCAGAAGUUGUGGGUUUGACUUCCAGCCGAUGUA
rnacentral:tRNA from 1 species